rnacentral:rRNA from 1 species
GAUGAACGCUGGCGGCGUGCCUAAUACAUGCAAGUCGAGCGAACAGACGAGGAGCUUGCUCCUCUGACGUUAGCGGCGGACGGGUGAGUAACACGUGGAUAACCUACCUAUAAGACUGGGAUAACUUCGGGAAACCGGAGCUAAUACCGGAUAAUAUAUUGAACCGCAUGGUUCAAUAGUGAAAGACGGUUUUGCUGUCAUUUAUAGAGGGAUUCGCGCGGCAUUAGCUAGUUGGUAGGGUAACGGCUUACCAAGGCGACGAUGCGUAGCCGACCUGAGAGGGUGAUCGCCAACACUGGAACUGAGACACGGUCCAGACUCCUACGGGAGGAGCCAGUAGGGAAUCUUCCGCAAUGGGCGAAAGCCUGCCGGAGCACCGCCGCGUGAGUGAUGAAGGUCUUCGGAUCGUAAAACUCUGUUAUUAGGGAAGAACAAAUGUGUAAGUAACUAUGCACGUCUUGACGGUACCUAAUCAGAAAGCCACGGCUAACUACGUG